UCAGGUGGAGGAAAGUUGUCCAGCUGGUAGGAAUGUGGGAGAAUGCCCUCUUCAGCCUAAGAUCCAACACACCAAAUGGAAUUGUGAGAUUUCUACGCAUUUGCUAUAUGUUCUUCCUACCUGCAGGUGAGCUGCCAGCCUUAAAAAUUACAGUCACUCCCCAGAUCUCUUCAGACACCUUCAGAUCUAUUUGGAAAAAUAGCAGAAAAUCUAGUAUUACUCCUAAAAAGAAGAAAAAGGCUAAAAAGUGAAUAUGGAUGCCAUCUAUUUCCAUGACCAAUUAGACAUGCCUAGAAAGACAUUGCUUGCUCUUGAAAUAAAAUAAUAUUUUCACUGUAAUCAAGUCCCUUUCAAGUAUUAAAACUUGAUAAGAUCAUUUUAUUAAAGUUCAAAGUGGUGAUAAUCCUUUCACCUCUGCCAUUUUCUAACAUGUGAGUUUCACAAUUGGACCUUAGGUGCGAUUCUCUUAUGGGGCCUCUUCCUUUGUGUAUGUGAAAAUUAUAAUUUGAAAGAGGUCAAGAUCUUUACCUAAGAAAGAAUUUCACCGUAAUUAUAACUAUACUUGGGAACAAUAGGAAUGUUUGUAACUAAUAACCACUUCCUAAAAGACAGCAUCCCUAAAAAUAAGAUCUUCCCCAAAUGGGGAAACUUCUCAUCACUCUAACCUCACCACGAAGAUGUCGACCCUGUGGGAAAUGGAAGCAGGUGUGGAUGAUCAAUGUACAAAUGAUAAACUGGAUUGGUUGAGUUUUGUAUGUCAUGGUAAUGUGAUGCAGCAAUGAAGAGCAUGGACUGUGGACUUAGAUAAACCAGAAUUUUCUGUGGAGAUCCUGCUGCUUUCCCAGUUAAUCUCACAGCACCUCAGUUUCCCGUUAUAUAUGACAUGGAUAAGCAUAGUGCCUAUCUCAUUUGGUGAACAUUAAAUGAGAUGACGCAUAUUCAAGCAUUUUAGGACAAUGCCUGGUACAUAGUAUGUGCUUGAAAAUAAAUAUUAAUGGCAGCUAUUAGUGCUGUUAAUUAUUGUAGAUGUUAGAAUCAAGUGGUUCCAUUCUUUCAGCUAGGGCAGAUUCACAAUAAAAACAAGGGACGGGGAGAUGGGGAAGAAGUGUUAGACCUCUUCAUUUUAAAGUAAAAACAAAACAAAAACUGUACUUCUUCAAAGGAAAAAUAUCUAUCAACAAAGAUCUAUUUUUUGGAAGUUUAUCUACUAUGAGCAUGGAGCUGUAAACAUGUGCAAGAACUGGUCAUUCAUUCUAUGUACAACUUUAGCAAGCACUGGCAAAUUCAUGGACUCAAACUACUGUGGAGGUGGGAAAAGGUACAGUAAAUUAUCUCCACUCGCCAGGAUCUUAGUCUAGCUAGGAAGACUAGACUCUCCAACAUGAAAAAUGAACAAUACAAUAUAAAAGUUGAAACAGUAUGUCAUCAGGAAGGUAAGGAGGGCCAUAGAGUAAUGAGUCAACUGAGCAUAUCUACCAGAACUCACAGAUUCAUUGGAUGAAGCCUCCUAAGAAAUUGUUCCCAUUCAAAAAGAAAAGACCUUUUUGAAAUUUGCCACUCCAGUUUCAUACCCACUGGAUAGGGUGUAAAAUCAUUGUGCCUGUUUAGAGGGUCUUUUGGCAAAGUCUACCGAAAUGAAAAAUAUAUUGCUUUUGACCCAGCCAUUCUGCUUCUAAAAUUUGUUUUACAGAACUACUCUCACACAUGUGCAAGGAAAUGUGUAUAAGGACGUUCCUUGCAGCACUGUUUACUACUAUACAUUGGAAACAACUAAAUGUCUCUCAAACAGCUCUCAGGGAAAUAAAUCAUGUUAAAUACGUGUGGAGACUACUAUGCAGUCAUUAGAAAGAAUGAUGUGAAUAUGUAAAUGCAUGUUUUGGAAAGGUAUUCAAGCAAUACUAUUAAACAAAAAACAGAAGCAGGUUAGAGAAUGGUACAUAUGAAAAUUAACAUUUAUAUGGAAAUUGAAGUUACGUAUUAUGUGUCUGCAUGUACAUAUAUAGAAAUUUUUGGAGACUAUUAAGAGUCUAUUAGCAAGGGGAGCAUGGAGAGUUUGAGAGGUGAUGAAAUUUUGUUUGUUUUUUGUCUUUUAUUACAUUAUUGGAGUAAUGGAAACGCUUUAAACAUGAUUGAAGUGAUGAAUGCACAACUGUGAUUAUACUAAAUACCACUGAUUGUACACUUAAGAUGGAGUGUAUGCUUUAUUAGUAAGCAUCAAUAAAAUUUAUAUUAAAAAUAAAAAAUAAAAAGUUUUAAAGAGCCUAU
rnacentral:lncRNA from 1 species